CUUCCGAUUCUGUUGAGGGACCUUACCCAGGGAGGUUACAAGUGCCAAGUUCUCCAGCAUCACAUCCUGGUACAGGCGUCUCUGAGCCUCCUCAAGGAGACCCCAUUCCUCCCUGGAGAAGUACACG